UACAGAGGUGGCAAGCGUUGUUCGGAAUUACUGGGCGUAAAGGGCGCGUAGGCGGCCUGGCAAGUGGAAGGUGAAAUCCCUCGGCUUAACCGAGGAACUGCCCUCCAAACUGCUUGGCUUGAGACCGGGAGAGGUGAGUGGAAUUCCCAGUGUAGCGGUGAAAUGCGUAGAUAUUGGGAGGAACACCAGUGGCGAAGGCGGCUCACUGGACCGGAACUGACGCUGAUGCGCGAAAGCUAGGGGAGCAAACGGG
rnacentral:rRNA from 1 species